rnacentral:lncRNA from 10 species
CUCCCAAAGUGCUGGGAUUACAGGUGUGAGCCACCGCGCCCUGCCACAGAAAGCACUUAUAGACAUAUAUGAUGAGUUUAUAUCAGCACCACAAUGUGACUUUAUAUUAUGCUUGUUUUACGGUUCUCCAGAGAAAGAGAACUACAGCAUGUGUGUGUCUAUACGUAUAUAUGUACAGACAUGCACACACACACACACACGAGAGAGAGAGAGAGAGGGAGAGAAGAGAUUGAGAUUUUAGGGAAUUGGAUCAAGUGAUUGUGAAGGCUGUCAGAUUCAGAAUCUGCUGGGCAUACCUGCAUGCUACAGACCCAGGGAAGAGUCCAUGUUGCAGCUUGAGUCCAAAAGCAGUCUGGAGGCACAAUUCCCUCUUCCUUGGAAGAUCUCGGUCUUUUUUAGAAUUUAAUUUUUUAUUUUUGAGAUAGUAUCACUCUGUCACCCAGACUGGAGUGCAGUGAUGCGAUCACAGCUCACUGCAACCUCAAAUUCCUGGACUCAAGUGAUCCUCCCAACUCCAGCCUCCCAAGUAGCUGGGACUACAGGGUGCUAGCUGUGACCACUUUGUUCAUGAGUCCACUGGGCAGUGACAGAGGUGGCUGGGGAAAGAGGCUGACUGGUAUUCACAACAUGGGUCCUAUUGGUUGGUCCGAAGAUAGUGAGUUAUCUCAAUGGAUUGUGCACUGUCAGUUACAGGUAGAACUCCUUGUUCCACUUUUUCCCCUUCUCACUACUGCAUUUGACUAGUUUUUAAAAAAUUAAAAACAAAACUAAAAUGGGUCAUCUUAUCCACUUGAUUACCUAAGUUCUCCUCUGCUGAGGUCACCCUUUAGUGAUAAGUCACAUGGGACACAAAUAUCUUCACAUAUUACAUCCAUUCAGAUCUAUUUCAUAUUCACAUAUUUCAUCCAUUCAGGUCUAUCCACACAUCUCUUCCCCAGACUUCCUUGUCAUCGAUUUUCCAAACAUGCUCCUUCCAAGUCCUUGACCGUCCAACCAAAACAUUGGCUACAUACAGCUCAUGAGUUGGUAUAUAAUUGCAUAUGUGGCCAUUUCUCCUUCUAAGCAAAAUGAACAACCAGGUGCACUGCCCAAAGUUCUGCCCACAGUGGGGGAUUUCCCUUCACCACUGUCCUUCAGGGAUGCCCCCAAAAGGGGCUGUCAUGCUGAAGCUGUCUACUUUCAGUGGUGCCUGCAUAUCUCACAGAACAAUUAUAAUCCAGGUUUGAGUUUUCUCUUCCUUGGACUAGUCAUAGGGAAUGCCCCAUGAGGCCAAAGGUCAGGCUGGAGAGAGAAGGUUGUGUAGUCGGAAUGAGGGCCUAGGAAAGAGUUGUUGCUGCAGUGAGACCUCAAAGGCAGUCUGCUUGCAGAAUUCCC